CAACAAGAUAUUUCCCAUGGUUACAUUGCACAAUUUAUCUUCUGAUUAUGUAAUGUCUCAAUUACAAGCAGUAUGAUGAUCCCUUUUUUUAAACUCCAUUCUUCUGGAAUCUCUACCAUCACUGCAGAGAGUGCAACUUCAACCAUGUCAAUCAGUAAACGAUGAAAUCCUGUGUCUAGUGACUUCCGAUUGUCCAACAACCUGCCCCCUCAACUCGACCCCAACCCUUCCUGCAUUCCUAUGUCUGACCACUGGCUGCUUUCUCUCCAACUUUGACUGCCAGUCGUACCCCUCAAGAAACAAACACAUAUCAGACAUAGAAACCACACAUUCACUCUUCCACACCCAUAGUUAUGGAUCAGUGGCCUUCCUAGUGAUCAACCCAUAGCCCUGCCUGUUAUAUACUGUUAUUCCUCCAAGAAAACUACAAGUCAACCAUUCACUGUGCCUUGCAAUCAUUGCGUUCUGACUGACGCCCGGAGGGGAACACGCCCAAACCAAACCAGAAACCUAAGAAUAAUACAGUCCUUUAGCCCUUACAGGCGAGGGACCUCAGAUAUUCUCGUCCAAUCCAUUUUAAAAAGGAGGUGAAGAGGACGUGAGGAUUUGAAGAAAGACAAAAUGAGAAAGAGCUUAUCCCUGAAUCUCAAAUCUCUAAUCUUUGUCUAUGCACUUGUGUAGACCUGGGCGGAUUGGAUUGGUGUAAGCUAUAUGGGGACAAUUGAACCUGGCCUAGAUCUACCUGUAACCUGUGUGUUUUCUUUCUGCAUCCUUCUAUGCCUUUUUCUUUUUCCCUUUUACUCUCCUCUUGUUCUUCAGGAUCUAGGGGUUCUGCCAUGCUCCGAGAAGCCUACCGUAUCCCUUCCCCAGACCUGGAUCCACCUGAUGUCCUCUAGGGGUUCUGUCAUGCUCUGAGAAGCCUACCGUAUCCCUUCCCCAGACCUGGAACCACCU